GGCCAGGCCAGGCAAAAAAAGGCAAGGCAAGUCCAGGACAGGCAAGGCCAAGACAGGCAACGGCAGGCCAGGCAAGGCAAGGAAAGUCCAAGCAAGGAUAGGCCAGGCUAGGACAGGCAAUGCCAGGCAAGGCAGGGCAAGGCAAGGUAAGGCCAGGACAGGCAAGGCAAGGAAGCACAAGGCAAGGUAAGGCCAGGCCAGGGCAGUCAAGGUCAGGCCAGGCAAGGACAGGUAAGGCCAGAAAAAAACAGGCACAGAAAAGAAAGGCUAGGCAAGACAAGGCAAGGCCAGGUCAUGCCAGGCCACGAAAAGGCCCGGCUCAGAAAGGCAAGGCCAACUAAGUCCAGGCCAGGCAAGAUCAGACAAGGCCAGGCCAGACAAGGCCAAGCCAGGCCAGACCAGACAAAACAAGGCUAGGCCAGGCCAGGGAAAGCUAGGCAAGUCCAGGCCAGGCAAGGCAAGGAUAGGCCAGGGAAGGCCAGGACAGGACAAGCUAGGCAAAGCAAGGCAAAGCACAUCAAGGACAGGCAUGACAAGGCAAGACACGGCAAGGCCAGGCAAGGCCGAGCCAGGCCAGACAACGCCAGGCAAGGCAAGGAUAGGCCAGGCAAGGCCAGGCUAGGCCAAGCCAGGCCUGGCCAGGCAAGGUGAGGCCAGACAAUGCAAGGCCAGACAAGGCCAGGCCUGUCAAGGCCAAGCAAGGAAAGGCUAGGAAAGGCGUGGCAAGAAAAGGCCAGGCAGAGCAAUGCCAGGCAAUGCAAUGCCAGGCAAGGCCAUGCCAGCGCAGACCAGAUGAGGACAGGCAAGGCUAGACAAAGCAAGGGCAGGAAUGGCAAGACCAGGCCAGGCCAGGCAAGGUUAGGCCAGGCAAUUCAAGGCCAGGUCAGGCCAAGCAAGGCAAGGCAAGGCAAUGCAUGGCCAGGCAAGGCAAGGCCACGAAAGGCAAGGCAAGGCCAGGCAUGGCCAGGCAAGGCAAGGCCACGGAAGGCAAGGCAAGGCAAGGCAUGGCCAGGCAAGGCAAGGCCACGGAAGGCAAGGCAAGGCAAGGCAUGGCCAGGCAAGGCAAGGCCACGGAAGGCAAGGCAAGGCAAGGCAUGGCCAGGCAAGGCAAGGGAAGGCCAGUCUGGCAAGGCAAAGCCAGGCAAGGCAAUGCAAGGCCAAGCCAGGCAAGG
rnacentral:lncRNA from 1 species